GACGAACCGUGCGAACGUUAUUCGGAAUCACUGGGCUUAAAGCGCGUGUAGGCGGGACGGUACGUCGGUAGCUGAAAUCCCCCGGCUCAACCGGGGAACGGGCGCCGAUACGACCGCCCUCGAGGGACGUAGGGGGACCUGGAACUUCCGGUGGAGCGGUGAAAUGCGUUGAGAUCGGAAGGAACGCCCGUGGCGAAAGCGAGGUCCUGGACGUUUUCUGACGCUGAGACGCGAAAGCCAGGGGAGCGAACGGG
rnacentral:rRNA from 1 species